ACAACCAAUUUUACAUGAUGAGAUACAAUCAAGAACCGAAUACACUUUAGGAAGAGCCGGAAGAGGUAUGGCAUGCCGUCAUUAUCAAACUCCUAGGGGUGACAGGUGCAACACAUUCCCAGCCAAAGGAUUGAAGUUUUUGC
rfam:Emmonsia pasteuriana TAMH 9510 supercont1.65, whole genome shotgun sequence.